rnacentral:rRNA from 1 species
AUUGGACGCUGGCGGCAUGCCUUACACAUGCAAGUCGAACGGCAGCACGGGAGCAAUCCUGGUGGCGAGUGGCGAACGGGUGAGUAAUAUAUCGGAACGUGCCCAGUCGUGGGGGAUAACGCAGCGAAAGCUGUGCUAAUACCGCAUGAGAUCUAUGGAUGAAAGCGGGGGAUCGCAAGACCUCGCGCGAUUGGAGCGGCCGAUAUCAGAUUAGGUAGUUGGUGGGGUAAAGGCCCACCAAGCCGACGAUCUGUAGCUGGUCUGAGAGGACGACCAGCCACACUGGAACUGAGACACGGUCCAGACUCCUACGGGAGGCAGCAGUGGGGAAUCUUGGACAAUGGGCGCAAGCCUGAUCCAGCAAUGCCGCGUGCAGGAUGAAGGCCUUCGGGUUGUAAACUGCUUUUGUACGGAACGAAAAGGCUCUGGUUAAUACCUGGGGCACAUGACGGUACCGUAAGAAUAAGCACCGGCUAACUACGUGCCAGCCGCCGCGGUAA